ensembl:snRNA U2 U2 spliceosomal RNA
AUCACUUCUCAGCCUUUUGGCUAAGAUCAAGUGUAGUAACAACAAAUAUUUAAAAAAUUAUUCUGACUUUAUAUGCAUGGUACCCAAA